UACGUAGGCACCAAGCGUUGUCCGGAUUUAUUGGGCGUAAAGAGCUCGUAGGCGGUGUGUCACGUCGGCCGUGAAAACCUGCAGCUUAACUGUGGGCGUGCGGUCGAUACGGGCAUCACUGGAGUUCGGCAGGGGAGACUGGAAUUCCUGGUGUAGCGGUGAAAUGCGCAGAUAUCAGGAGGAACACCGGUGGCGAAGGCGGGUCUGGGCCGAUACUGACGCUGAGGAGCGAAAGCGUGGGGAGCAAACAGG
rnacentral:rRNA from 1 species